rnacentral:rRNA from 1 species
UACGUAGGGUGCAGGCGUUAAUCGGAAUUACUGGGCGUAAAGCGUGCGCAGGCGGUUUUGUAAGCCAGAUGUGAAAGCCCCGGGCUCAACCUGGGAAUGGCAUUUGGGACUGCAAGGCUUGAGUGCGGCAGAGGAGACUGGAAUUCCUGGUGUAGCAGUGAAAUGCGUAGAUAUCAGGAGGAAUACCGAUGGCGAAGGCAGGUCUCUGGGCUGACACUGACGCUCAUGCACGAAAGCGUGGGGAGCAAACAGG